rnacentral:rRNA from 1 species
UACGUAGGGUGCAAGCGUUGUCCGGAAUUAUUGGGCGUAAAGAGCUCGUAGGCGGCUAGUCACGUCGGAUGUGAAAACCCGAGGCUCAACCUCGGGCCUGCAUUCGAUACGGGCUGGCUAGAGUACUGCAGGGGAGACUGGAAUUCCUGGUGUAGCGGUGAAAUGCGCAGAUAUCAGGAGGAACACCGGUGGCGAAGGCGGGUCUCUGGGACGGUACUGACGCUGAGGAGCGAAAGCGUGGGGAGCGAACAGG